AGUGAACGCUGGCGGUAGGCCUAACACAUGCAAGUCGAACGGCAGCACAGUAAGAGCCUGCUCUUACGGGUGGCGAGUGGCGGACGGGUGAGGAAUACAUCGGAAUCUACUUUUUCGUGGGGGAUAACGUAGGGAAACUUACGCUAAUACCGCAUACGACCUACGGGUGAAAGCAGGGGAUCUUCGGACCUUGCGCGAUUGAAUAAGCCGAUGUCGGAUUAGCUAGUUGGCGGGGUAAAGGCCCACCAAGGCGACGAUCCGUAGCUGGUCUGAGAGGAUGAUCAGCCACACUGGAACUGAGACACGGUCCAGACUCCUACGGGAGGCAGCAGUGGGGAAUAUUGGACAAAGGGCGCAAGCCUGAUCCAGCCAUACCGCGUGGGUGAAGAAGGCCUUCGGGUUGUAAAGCCCUUUUGUUGGGAAAGAAAAGCAGCAGGUUAAUACCCCGCUGUUCUGACGGUACCCAAAGAAUAAGCACCGGCUAACUUCGUG
rnacentral:rRNA from 1 species